rnacentral:rRNA from 1 species
UACGUAGGGUGCAAGCGUUGUCCGGGAUUAUUGGGCGUAAAGAGCUCGUAGGCGGUUCGUCGCGUCGGCUGUGAAAACCUGAGGCUCAACCUCAGGCCUGCAGUCGAUACGGGCGGACUUGAGUACUGCAGGGGAGACUGGAAUUCCUGGUGUAGCGGUGAAAUGCGCAGAUAUCAGGAGGAACACCGGUGGCGAAGGCGGGUCUCUGGGCAGUAACUGACGCUGAGGAGCGAAAGCGUGGGGAGCGAACAGG